rnacentral:lncRNA from 10 species
AACCCUGGGCUGAGCCUCCCCGCCGGCUGGCCAGGACAGACCUGGAUGCCCUCCACCCUCCAGCCAAACUUAUUUUUUUCAUAUCAUAGCUGCAGAAUAUUCGGACCCUCUAGUCCCAGCCGCCCAGUGAACUUGAGCUGUGUGACCUUGAGCAAAAGGCAAAAUGUUUCUGAUUUUCAGUCCCCUCAUCUGGAAAAGGAGGAGGCUGUGGGACAUGAUGAUCUUUGAAAGUCUAAUAAUGAAACAAACAGAAAACCUGUGCUUCUAAGUUGGUGAGUCUGGAAAGGCUUGGUGUACAGUUGAUGUCUAGAAUAUAUUAACAGAAGGCUGCCCUGUAGAAGUUUUGAGUUAAUGGUUUCCAUCAACG